AACGCACCUUGCGCUCCUUGGUAUUCCGAGGAGCAUGCCUGUUUGAGUGUCAUUAAAUUCUCAACCUAACCAGCUUUUGUGAGCUUUGGGUUAGGCUUGGAUGUGGGGGUUGCGGGCUUCACAGAAGUCGGCUCUCCUUAAAUGCAUUAGUGGAACCUUUUGUUGACUUGUUCCUGGUGUGAUAAUUAUCUACAUCGCGGGCGGUCAGCUUAUAAUGGGGCUCUGCUUCCAACUUGUCCUUAGCGGGACGCUUUGACCAUUUGACCUCAAAUCAGGUAGGACUACCCGCUGAACUUAA
rnacentral:misc_RNA from 1 species